rnacentral:misc_RNA from 1 species
AAAGAUGCAUAUGCUGAUGUGUCAUGAGGACUAGAUGUUUCCUGUGGCUGUCACUUGUGGCAAUACUUUUAUUCUAAAGACAUCAGAGAAAGAUCCAGGUUAUUGCUAGACAUUCCUAGUACUAUAUUUUUUUUUAUCAUGCCAUGGUCUAUGUAAGUGUUAUAGCAAAAAGAAAUGUUUAACUAGUGUAAUUGGUUUUAUAUUUACUUUGAUGAGGAUUUAUCUAAUGCAUAUCAAUUGAAGCAAAUGUACAGAAUAAUUUAUUAGAUUUUAAACCUGGUCAAGACAUUGUAAUUCAUAUUCUGUUGAAGCAUUUGAGUCUUUGAGUUCCAUUUUUCAAAGCAAAUUGCAUUAAAGUUGUAGUCUUUGUUGAAAAGAGUAAUUCCUUCGUUACUAGCCUUGCCAUGUAAAGCUCGAUGUCUAAUCUUGUGGCAACGGAGGCACUCUUUUUUUUUUUCCCUUUUACUCUCCAUAUCCAUCGGAUGCUCCCUUCUGUUCUUAGUUUGUCAAGUUUACUUAUCUGCAUCUUGGAGAGCAGAGUUCAAAAUAUGGAGCAAAAGAAAAGUUGCUGAGAGUAGGAAGCUUUUUGAAUCUUCUUGAAGUGGGAUUAUUUUCUAUUCUCUACCAAUAUUUGCAAAUUUAAUAAACAUAGACAAAGAAAUUUAUCACAAAGUAGGAAACUAGGAAUAAUUUUGAAUUUUCACCAUAUGGGACUAUUUUCUGAAAAGUCUCUAGUAAUUAUGCUAUUUCGGACAAAGUAUUAGAAAGAAUGAAAAAUGUAAAAUAAUCCCUCAAUAAGUCAUUUCUCAUUGCAGAUUUUGACUCAAGUUGCUGAAUAAUCCCUCAGUUUGGUACAAUAUCAUUACAGAAAUUGCCAGUUAUUAAUUUUAGCAUGUGCAUCCACAAGUUUUUGCUUGUGUACUAUGGUGGAAUAUGAUAAAAUAUCUUCAUGUGUGUUACUAGAGUAGUAAGUGAUUAUUUCAUAUGAAUAAUAUGACCUCGAUUUGGUCCAAACAUCUUCAGUUAUUAAUUUCAUGUUGGUAUUAAGUGUGACCCUUAUUUUUUAUUUUAUAUGAAUAUUAUAUUCUUUGCUAAUGAAAUGGGUUCUUGAGGUGUUCUAUGAUUAACAUGGAAAAUGAAUGAUGGAAUCGUUAACCAAUGGUCAUAUGACAACCAAGAUAAGAGCAAUUACAGGAUGCUAAAAAUUUCAUGUCUUGUUAUUUAGAAUACAUUCUUCUCAGAUCUUAUGUUCAAAACCUCAGAUGAAUGUUUCUUAGAUUCUGAUUGAUACUUCAGGAUUGUUUGCCCUCUAAGCCUUCGUUCUUCCACUGCUUCAUUUUUUCAUUUUUUUUUUCUCUUUUAAGGAUCUUGUGUUUCACUGCAUCUUUGGGUUGUGACUGCUUUAGCAUCUUUUCAUGUCAGUUAUUGAAAUAAUAUGAAGGGCACAUACCUAAGUAGGCUGCCUCUUUGCAACAUGAUUAUUUUUGUCAUGGAUUCUUUUUAUUAUUCUCAUCCUCAUUUGGUUUUUCGUUUUUUGGAUUUUGAUUUUAUAUUUUUGUUGACAAGGAAUGAUAUUUGUUCUUGUACUGAUCUUUUAGGCUGGUGCAUAUAUUUAUGCAAGGGCAUCAGCUAAAGGA